AUAUUUACAUUGCUCAAUUAUAGUGGUAAUUUCACUUUUGGUUUGAAUUACAUGAUCCUUAUGUGACUUGACUCCCCCUUUUCUUAAUUUCUUGGAUUGGGUUACCAUGACCAAAGGCUUGUUGGCUGAUCACUUCUCCAUGAUUCAUCUAAGUGGUCUGGAUAUUUUGCUGUUGAAAGAGGCUUGAGACAUGGAUAAUGGCAGUAACAAUUUAAUAGAAGAUCGCCACUCGUUAGAUGUAUUUGUUAUUGAUGGUUGGCCAUAUGAGGAAACUUGACUGGCUUCAAGAUAUGUCAUCAAUGCCUUCCAAUCUAUAGAAGACAAAGCCGAUGUCUAGAUUAAAGACAUUGCGAAUAAUCCAAACUCAUGAAGAGCCAGGGAAGAGGUACUAUUCUUUGCGUCUCUUUUAACUAACUUGGAAAGAUAUGUGUCGACCUUACUAAAUUGGUUGCUUCAAUAUGGUUGCUCUAGAAGGUGCAUCCUUGCCAAAUACUGAAUAAAAGUACCUUGCAUCACCAUCAUUAGCUUUGUGCAAUAAAUAUGGCAUUCAAUCAUCAAAAAAAUCACUCUCAUAGGCUCCUAACUUUGCGACAGUAACAAAAGAGCUUUUAAGGCAAGGCCAUCCAAAAGAGAUGUUUGCUCAUGGAAGAUAUGAAAUGAAAGGUAUUCAAAGGGUGAAAUUUUUUAAGUAGACAUCAUUGAUUACAUUAAUAUUGAUUUCUUCAAUAUUAAAUUUCUAAGUUAUACACUGUUAGUAUUAAUACUAUCAAACUAGUACUGUUAUGUACUUAGUUGCUCAGAUUGAGAACAAGAUUUAAUGAACAAUGACA